rnacentral:rRNA from 1 species
UUGAAAAGAGAGUUAAACAGCACGUGAAAUUGUUGAAAGGGAAGCGUUUGCGACCAGACUCGCCCGCGGGGUUCAGCCGGCAUUCGUGCCGGUGUACUUCCCCGUGGGCGGGCCAGCGUCGGUUUGGGCGGCCGGUCAAAGGCCCUCGGAAUGUAUCACCUCUCGGGGUGUCUUAUAGCCGAGGGUGCAAUGCGGCCUGCCUGGACCGAGGAACGCGCUUCGGCUCGGACGCUGGCGUAAUGGUCGUAAAUGACCCGUCUUGAAACACGGACCAAGAC